rnacentral:miRNA from 1 species
UAAGGAGCUGACUCCGAGCCUAAGGAGCUGGCUCCGAGCCUAAGGAGCUGACUCCUUAGGCUCGGAGCCAGCUCUUUAGGCUCGGAGCCAGCUCC